rfam:Flavobacterium fryxellicola strain DSM 16209 FBFR10, whole genome shotgun sequence.
CCCUAGCCCUGAUGGCAGCGGCAUCCUUUUUAGUUUGCUUUUUAGCAAACAAAAAGAUACAGCGAACAGCAGGAAAUGGC